UACACUUUGACUCUUUACAAUGUAGAAACGUUAACAUGAGAAAAUUGGGGGCAGACUGCUCCGGAUGACAUCAUCAUAUGUUUGGCAAUGUUUACACAUUUUUUAGUGUGGGGAAUCUGGAAAAGGGGGGCCACUAGUGUUGCUUACGGUGCGGAACCCAGUGUUUUAAUAAUACUGACUAGACCACACCCUGCACAUCACCUCAUUUUAGGCAGUGUUCCAAAGUGUGCCUUGUAGCUAAAGAGGCGCUUAGCGUUGUCUGGAAAUUCCAUCUCCUCUGUGCGGUGUCAGAGCUCAAAGUCUAGUUGUGCAAGUCUGCAUAAAGCUCCACAAAGUCAAGUACACAUGAAGAGUUCAGUGGAAGUAUGCCAUGCAUUUCCAUAAGCUUUACCAGAAAUUUCACAGCUGUGUUUUCCGCACAUGUCUGUUGACAUGACCAGGGUGGCCAGGCCUGUGCUUUAUGUUGAAAUGAAGUAGAAAGUAGAUUGCCGCAUUGACAGCACUGAGUGCGAGCCUGAUCAUCCGAGUUGCAUUAAUCAAAACCCGCAAGUUGAGGAUAGAUUUGUGAAAGGGAGUGUGUGCAAGAUUAAACUUUUUUCAACUAUGACGAUUUCUUUCCAAGAAACUUGAACAAGUUCCCUUUGUAGCUUCAUGCUAUAUGUAGGUUGAUGCUAUCUUUCACUUUCAUUAUUAAAGAUGCAUAGGGAAGCCCUUCUCUGGGAUUCUGCAGUAUGCCUAUCAGCACUGUGCUUGGUUUGUGUGUCAGCACUGGCCAACUGUCUCGAGAAGUUAUGUCAAGGUAUAGGUAUGUGGACUAGGCUCCACACUGGUGCUGCCCUGGAGUGACUCCAGGGCAAACUUGGAAGUGCACUGUGUGCCUCGCUUGGCCUCCCCCCUCGGCAACAGGGUGUACAGCUGUGCCUGCAGCCCUUACAGCUGCACCGCAUAUACAUUGAGGCUUCUGGGGCCUCCUUGCUUGGCAUGUGGCGGUUGGGCGCACUUGUUGAUAGGUGCUAGUGUUCGCACUGUAUGAGCGGCAGCUGAUUCCUGGAGCAGGCUGCUCCUGGGACACUUUUGUUACACCUGUUUUGAAGUCUUCAGUGGGUGUGCACAAGAACUGGAGCAAGGCAAGACGCGUUUCUGUUUCUCGCAAGAUGUGCGGCAUCUUUCUUGGAAAAGCUUUUCUUGUGCUGAAUGAUUUCAAAGGGGAAUUCAGACGCUGGGUCUGGACAUCAAUGUUUAUAAGAUGCUUCUGUGUGCCGUUUCCUUUUUAAAGGAACACUAAAGAGAAGAAUUACUUUAGCUUUAUUAGUAAAUUACCCUUCCAGAACACCAAAAAGAGCCUUCAAAAGAGCUGGUGCGGUUCCGGCACCUGCUCGUUGUGACAUCGCAGAUAUUGAUGGCGUCUGGUUGGGCCCAUUUAAUUUUUUAUCGGUAAAGGUUGGAGACUAAACAUAGCAAGUUUUGAGCACCUUUACUGUGCCAUAAUCGUCCAAACAAGGGGGAAAAAAUGAAAUCCGUGACAUCACGCAUGGUACCAGCGCUGGGGUUCUAGUGGAAAAAAAAAAAAAAAAGAAUGUUUGGCCUUCAUUUUUUCAUGUUGUAAUCAACGUCUUUCCCACGAACUUAAGAAUAAUGCAGCUUUGAUAGAAGAGGUUAUCAGUCUACACUAAUUUAGUGUAUCUCUUUAGUGUCCCUUUAAUUGCAUCCAGCGUCGUUCUGUGUAUGCAUUGAGCAGGUCACUGACUGCAGUUGUUCUGUAAUGUGAACCUGCUGAGAGAGCUGUCUGCUUUUAGCUCUUCUAAACAUUUGAAAUGUUUAAGUGUAUUAAUGUUUAAUUUGAAUGUCCCCUGUCCAGCUGUGUGGGCAUAAUUGGUUGAUGUUAACACCGCAGGAACUCAAAUUCGCAGCAGGUUAUUUCAUUCAUUAGGAUUUCAUCUUGCAGGCACUGUUUAAAACUAGUUUUCAAGCACUUGAUUGCUGUACUGUUGCAGUCAGUUUAACACGGUGUAAAUUUAGGGGAAAAAGUGUCAUUAUUGAAUGACAUGUGUUGAUGUGUCGAAAGUACUGUAAUUUUAAGAUAGCUUAUUUCCUAUGUUCCUUGUUGGUGUCAUUGUUUCUAGGGAUAAUGACCUUUCUCUGUUUAAUGUGCAGAACUUUUAUAUGCGUAAAACAUGCUCAAUGAAUUGAAAGGGUCUCUAUAGCUAAAUACAUGGAAGAAGGAAGGACACGUUUCUUUGUAAUGCUACUACAUAGCUGGCACCAUUUUUAGCAAGGCAGCAUAUUCAGGGCGCCUUUUCUAUCUGUAGUACUUUUUGUGCAUUCACUGCUGACAGACAUUUGAUAUCAUGUGAAAACAUUGAUUACAUGUUUCACUUAUACUGCGCCUGUAUCCACGUGGGCUCACCUUCAUGCAGCCACACUGUAGUGACAGCCUUUGCACAGCAAUAUGAAUGCAUCUGUUUCGAAGGGUACAUGGCAGGCUGGUCUUUCCUUUAUAAGAGCCUUUUAUGAAGCUUCCUUUCGCGUGUAUACCCAAGCCAUCUACUGCUAAGAGUGGAUCACAUAUCGUAAUUGUGUUAUCUUUAUGUGUAGAUGGUUAUGUUAUUGGUUCAUCUCUGAGCACCAAGGUCUCCCCUGGGUGGUACGCUGUUGGCACUUUUAGUGUUGUGCGUGUAAAUGUCAUUGCUUUGGUGGGUCUCCUUGUUCCUGGUGGUAGGUGAGCACUGGUGUGUUGCGUACCUGCUCUUUAGACAUUUCCUUUGGCACUGGUCCUGUGUUCUUUGGUGAAAAGCUCAACAUCGGCCCAGCUUGCUUCCUCUGCUGGCUACCAGGAAGUGGUCUUUCCUUGUGAUGAAACAUGAUGCCUUGUUAGGAAACGUCGGACCUGUAGGGGCUGGCUCUGCAUGCAACUGUAGCGUGCACAGACUUCCCAGAGAAGAUGUCGAGACGAAAGUGCCCUGACGGUGGCCAGCUAUUUUGGUUCUUUGGGCCACCGAAGUGCGUGAAUUUGUGCAUCACCUGACACUCGCUUUGCUACAGGGAUUGCACAUGUGACUGCGAGAGGCAGGUGUGCCUGAAGGUACGGCAGGCCCUGCGCAGAAACUGUGCCCAUGGGCACAGUGGUCAGAUCGGUCGGCAGGGUGUCGCUGUGUGGCAUAGGCAUCAUUGUGCUUGACACAGAAGUACACACCAAGGUUCAUGUCUUUCGCGCUCUUUUGUUGUCUUUUGGCUACACCUGGCCAGAAUGAUUUCUUGCAAUGCUUGCUAUGCUUGAGCAGGACUAAGGCACCAAGCUUGGCACCCAUGAAAUUUAGCUCACUCCUGUGAAAUUCAGUACAGUUCUAUAAACUCAAUGCAAUCCUGUGAAUGCGAUCCUAUAAAAAUGUAAGGGGCUGGCAUAAAUAGUGCCACAUUGAUCUUGGCAACGCCUCUUGUUUGAGCGAUGCAGUAGAAGUGUUUGCAUUCACUAAGCAGCUAGCUUUAUCGCAAGUAGGGCAGGAAAGGUAUUUCCAGACUAAAUUUCAGCUCUUUUUGAUGCAAAUGAACAAUACAGUUGCUCAUGAAACACUAAGUGGUGCAAUGUUAUCUGGUGCUUCGAUUCUGGCUUUUCAGCGAACAUCUGCGAAACUCAUUUAAAUAUUGAAGGCAAGGUGCUGCUGCAUCAAGAGACGUUUCGUUUAGGCUAACAUAGUGCACAGCUGCUCUUUCAUGGCGCAACAGCCUAUGCUUGCAAUGAGAGUUGGCUUCCGUGGCGUCUUCCAUCCUCAAGCUUUUCAGAGCUUCCAAUGUUGAGGCACGCAUUCGGUAUCUCGUAGGCGAUAAAUUCGUCAGUGUUUCUGCUUGGAAUAUUUGCCGGUUUCUUUCUGUCCAGGGCCUGCUGUAUCAAGUGUGUAUACUGAAGUAUCGAAAUUCGGAGGCUGUGACAUUGCACGCUGCCGCUUCCAUAUGCCAUGCUGAUCAGGCUGAUCAGUAUGUGUGGGCUGCGCUUGUUGCUUCUUGGCACAGUUGCUGUCUUUUGACUGCCUGCCUUUUUACCACAGCAGUGAUCAAUGAUGCAGAACUGUAGAAAAAGAAAACCAACAAACAAAGCUAGUCCGACUUUUCUCAUGCGCGCAUGUGUGCAUUUGUGUGUAUGUGUGUUAUGUGUGGACUGGGUGAUGCAGUUUGUAUGUCACCUUUCUCUAGGUGUCUAUGGUCGUUCUUUUUUUUUUCACCUUGCCUCCAUUGGCAGAAAUAUGUUUGCGAAAGGUGUGUCUCAAGAGAUAAUUCAUUCUUUCGGUGUCAUUUAUUAAGACCCAUUAUAUGUAGGUGUGCGUGUUAUAUUGCUAGCACGGGAACCAAGCGUGUGCUUGUGCUGUAUGCAGCGUGUAUUUUUCCUUUUGUUCUCUGUCUUUUGCUGUUUCUCCUUGCGCGUGUACUGAAGUGUUAUUUCCACAGGACAUGGUGUCCAAAGCAAUGGAGCCUUCUGAGAAAAUAAAUGCGUAUGAAUAUGUCA
rnacentral:lncRNA from 1 species